CCCUGGUGGCUCAGAUGGUAAAGAAUCUGCCUGCAAUGUAGGAGACCCAGGUUCGAACCCUGGGUUAGGGA
rnacentral:tRNA from 1 species